GUUACUAGCGGCGACGGCGACACUAGAGACACGGCACUCUCGGUCCUUCGAGGACGCAGGUGUACCUAACAAAAGGCACCUUAGAGUUGAGAGACUAGAGCGAUCGCAAAAAGUCCUCUAAGACAAGGAACAGGCAUAGAAGUAAUUUUUGUCAUAGACGGGGAACAGGAGUGACGAAAGAAGGAAACUGGUACCAAACCAGCGACGUCCCGGCGUUUGUUGUCUCGACUAGACUAGGUGCUCCUUCACGCUAUGUAGUCACUCUAGCUAGCCUGUCUACCCGAUGGAGUGUUCAAGAAGAACCCACUACUCGAACACACCCUCGGGCUAUACGAGGGUGGUUCUGCACCGGAGUACACGCAAGUUCGUUUAUAAGCUGCGGAGGUGGACGUGCUUGGUAGAUCGCCGCUGGCCGUAGCGCCGCGACGAGGACAAGCGCGAGCGCGAGGUCGACAAACACUUUUAAGGGUUCUCGUCUCGCAGCCGCGCCGUCGAGCAGUGCGAGUCGAGUGGCGACGUGAGCAGACGACACCACAAGUCACCGUGGGACCCAAACCAAAUAGAACCCGAACCUGACACCUACGACCCCUCACCGAAGUUAGUCCUACGAAGACGAAUGGAAGGUGUAACCACCGAACACUGUCGUACAGUCCCUGACUUGAACUAGGAGUGGUCGAAGCGAAAGUCGUAGUCCGGAGCCAAAGAACCUCGCCGUAAGCAAGCUAAAACCGGCCAGAACGACCAGGAGAUGCGCCGUAAGUAGACAAGAAGAAGACAGCAACUAUAACAACGUCUCUUCCGCGACUGACAAUUCAGGACAAAUCUAUAAAACAGGGAUGGUCCACGUUAAGAGUACGAAUAAAUGCCGUAAGCCGUGUCGGUACUGCUUCUCCCAGUACCUUCUUCACCGUUACCAAAUAUGUUCGGGGACUUGUGCCUCCGUCUGUCACUCCAUCGACUAAGACUGUCAGUCCAUUGGGGGAAACGAUUUCGACCAAAAAAGUCGUCCUACAGCAAAACCACCGACUUAGGAGACUACUUCUACCCGAUACUCUUCGGGGAACUCCUGUUUCUGUACGGCGAAAAUCCGCGGUGUCUAGCUCGUGUCUUGGUCAUGAACCACAAGUACCUCUUCGACUUGGCGCUUUUCGUCAGCGGUAGCGUGCGGUGUGGUAGUAAGAAGACCUGAUAACAAAGAACAGUAUUCGCACGGUAGAACCAGAGCCCAAAGACACGAAACGAUUUUCAAGAGUGGAAUAGAUGACCGGGUUAUGAAGAGUUCCGUAAGUAGUUACAUAGUGAACCCUUUCCCAGGAAAUUUAUGCUUCCGAAACACGAACGACGUCAUUACAAGCAGACGUUUAAGACACUUAGCAACAGUGUCUCCGUCACCAUAAAGGCGUGAGCCUCUAAUCCUAACGUCCACUCCAGUAAAGACAGUCGUCGAUAAAUAUUCUUUGUCGUCUUCGAUAGUUUACGUCGUUUUUACUUCGUGAGAAGACCUCUUUAAUACUUGAUACACUGACAGCUACGGAUGGCCUAACCCCUUAAGGGUAUGACCAAGGUAGUUUGUACCUGUUGUUCACAAGUUGAAACGUAACGAGACCGCUAAGAUAUGUUACGCCAGCCGCGACGUUACGAAAGUAGUAAUCAACAUUAGUAGUAGUGUCACGAAACGUUGCGCGGUAACCGGUUUGACGUUGUGUUUAUGGUCUCAUUCGAAUACCUUCGUGUUCUACACUCUAACUUCCGGUACUGGCUCAGUGAUCAAGUAUACUUCCAGAACUUUGAAAUACGUACCCUUCGAGUGAAGUUCUUCCAGUAACUCCCCAACUCUCUCCAACUCAUGUUCACCAACUGUCGUAAAGUCGAAUCCUCCCGUAUGUUGUCAAAGGACAAGACCAGUAGUGGACAAGACCAAAGCCGUCGCUGGAAAGAUUGUACGAUAGAAGACUUUUAAGGAGAACUACGAUCGUUACAUAAGUGGAAGCACCGUUGAGAUGCAGAGCACGUUCUGGGUUAGUCCGUUUAUGGUCUACAAUAACCGCAGCACUAUGUUCGAUUCCAGCGCAAGUGAGCCUAUAGCUUCAAAGAACUACGAGGACUCGAUUUGCCCGUUCGAUCUUUCUUUAUGAUACAACCGUAACUAAUGGGAUAUCGCUACUUAAGCACGUCAAAGAGUACCCUACUCUUAGGUAGUUUUGGUUGAGACUUCUUGUAUUUAGACCGUCAGUUUCGUCCUCUUUUCCAACGGUAAACACCUCUCCAUCCUAGUCCCUUCAGGUGCGAAAACCGACGACACGAACCUCUCCAGGGGUUCUGACUUCCGUGCUAGGUUCAGACACCCUUUUAUCGUAUAUAAAGAGUCUUACGUACCUAGGUUUGUCCUUGGCACGUUCUGUUAUAAGAGAAGCCUAGCGGUUACCUGUCCCUUUCUAUAGUGUUGUGUGAGCGCUCCACGAGCAACCAGUUCCUGGAACUUUACAACGGUAUACCUCUAACAUGAGUUUAACCCCUCUCUCCUCAUUUGGAAUCACCACCAGUCUUCGUCGCGCAGGUCGAACGAGCACGUGAUAUGGUUUUACGUCUGUAGAUAGAAGAACUACUAGGAAAGUCACGACAGCUACGGGUAUGUCGGUGUUCAGAUAAGUUACUUAUACAGUACUCGCGAGAUAGCCUGUUCUGACAAGAGAACCACUGCGUGGUUCACCUAAAAGAUGGGCAUAAACUGAGGUAAAACAAUUACAGUCUACCUCUCCAGUAAUCCAGACGUGGAAUAGUUCUAGAUAACCGUCUAACACUUCUUAAAUUUCUGGAACAUUUACGGGUAUUUCUAUGUUAACCACAAAGGCUACAAUCAUUGUUAUAUUGUUGAGCUUCUAGAUUCCUUCAUAGUCAUUUCCUCUGUCUACCAUAAGUAUGUCUUAGACACUUCGGUAGUGGCCGUCUAGUUGACUAGUUCUUUCUCCUUUCUCUUUGUCCCCUGCGUCCACAAUUCGGAAUAUACGAAAUGGACACGGUCUUGUUUCCGGAGGACAUAAAGAGAGAAACAUAAUAAAGAGUGUAUUAAAAGCAUCGACCCGUUUAUAGUGUCUUAAGUACCUACCGACGAUUACAGGUUUUAGGAGUACAAUCAUGUGACUUCAAUUAAAGACACAUGUAAUAAUAGCCUCAAACGUGUUACAAGAAGAACGAUAGUUCUAGAAACCGUCAGCAAUAAGAACCCUAGGUCUGUAGUGCUAGGAAUAAAAGGGUCGAUGAGUUAAGUAAUAAGGCACGUGGUUACAGGAAAAAACUAAGAUGAGGCGAUCCUUCCCAAGAAUCGGCCCAAAGAAGUCUAAACUCAUAGCAACUGGAACUACAAGGUAAACGGAAGCAUAAAUCGGAACCACGGUCGAAUUUGCGUAUAUCGUUAGAUCCCCAUGACCGACAACAAUGUACCGUUCAAGACAAACAUAGGCAAGGUUACUAUCAAAACCGUUAAUCCGACGUCUCCAUGAUAGAUCGGAGCCGGUUCCUUGACUACGCCUAGUUACCAUGGUGGUUCAGACGAGAUCGCUUAGUGAAUCCACUUAGCUAACGUCCCCGAUAUUGGUAUUCCCGGAAACUCCUUCUUCUAGCAAAGAAACGAUUUUAAAAACUGGAACAACUGUUCUUACGGUCGGGUAUAAAGAUAUUAAAACGUAGUUGACUUACCAACUAAGUUGCAGACCUCUAUUACUCGCGGCGUCAAGAAAGAAAAAGACGGAAACAGUACCGGGAAGAAGGAGUUCCUUGAAAAUCGGGACCAAAACACCCUUACCGUAACAGGAUACCAGAAAGGGAUUUAUACAGUAAACAAAAGAGAUAAGUUUUGGUUACGUUGGACCGCUUAGUUUAUUAGAGCCACCUUGCCCACUUGGUCAUGUACCUGUAUGUUUCACUUCGGCGUCUUCAACAACUCCUUUUAGCUGGUAGUGGUCUAACCGGAGUUCUACCAUUACACCUCGAAUCUCUAAACUUCUAGUCCAUAUCCUUUCUACGAGGGGAACAUGAUGUACCUUAGUGAACGUCCAAACUUCGACCUUUAUUCUAACCAUAUCAACCAGCUUGCCCUUCACCGUUCUGUUGUAAUUAACCACGUAACAAAGCAGAACAACUUGGGCGGCUACCCUUUUAUUAAUAUCUGAGACACCUGUAGUCAUGUUAUCCGAACGUACUGGACGCAAGCGCAAACCCAUAGUAAGGUGUUCUAGGUUGUGAAAAAGUCCCAUGUCAUUCUAUGUUAGAUCUAGGAGAACCCGUUAAGAGUCUAGUUGUUUAUACCCUCCAAGAACUGUUUACAGUUGAAGAACUUCGACAGGUCCUCUUCCUGGUUCCUGACCUAAGUGUACAACACCUUCUGCCCAGCUUGACCUCAUACCCAGUUUCCGUCGAGAAAACAGACCCUGCGCGUGAAAACUCUUCUACGGCGUAGAAUCAAGACCUACUUCGCUGUCGGAGAUAACUGUUACGUUGUCUACGACAGGAAGUCUUUUGCUAGGCCUGUCUUAAGUUUAUAACGUGGCAGUAAUGUCAACGUGUGGCAUAUGGUUGUCAAUACCUGACGCUAUACCAUGAACGUUACUCGCUACCCUCUUAUCACCUCAUACUGUUUGGAUGUUUCGAGUACCUUUGCCUUCCUAGAGAGAAGGCGUUUGACCAGUUGCUCAUGACCAGUAUGUGUAGCUUGCCUUUAUAAAUCUUCUCUGACAGAAGGCAAAAUCUUUUUUUCUGACAGUCAAAACUAACGAAUGAACGACGUCGAAAGGUUCUUUAUUUUCUGUUUAGCCGAAAAUCUUUUAUCACGGUGCUGACUUCUAUAUAUCAUUAGAUACGAUUCCUUAAGUAGAUAAACCUUAGACUUCUUUCCGUCAUGAUAAAUAACAGACCGUCAAAGAAAGCGAUGGUCUUUAAGACACGUUAUGUGUCACCUGACGGAGACGGGAAGUCAUAACCACUUCGACUCGUCUCAUUUGGGGACUUCUCUAUUAUCUUCCGAUUUGGUCUCCAUGAAGUUUAGAUGUUGGAUGCUUACUCUACGCUACACUCGUAUACACAAACGACUGUCACAAUACCAGCUCAGCAAACAGCUAACCGAUUACGUAAGUGAAGGUGUAGUAAAUGUCAUCGAACCAUGCAAAUACGACUUACGUAACUGAAAUAUAUACUCCAAAGUCUGAUGCUUUACAUUUAACUACGCUAACCAAAGACAACAGGUACAUAAAGAGGUCACCUUUCGUCCAACGAAAACAGCAAUUCUGACGGAAAGGUAUAACGUUACAUGGGAGACAUGGUUUUAUAUAUUGCAAAAUCGCUAGUAUCACAUUUAGACCGAUGCAAUGCUUUGAAGGGCUCAAAGGCUUUUACGGGAGGGUGGACGGGUGAGGGUAGGUGAACGACGGGUGAGAGUGGGUGUGGGAGAGUAAGGGGAGGGAGCAGCGGAGAGGCGUAGCAGCGGCCGGUGGCGUCGGGUAGCGCAAGAGCGAGGCCGUCGGGUGGCACAAGAAGGAGGACGUCGGGUCGCGAACGAAGGAGAGGAAGGAAAGGGUGGCGAACGAAGGAGAGGAAGGAAAGGGUAGGGCUCCAGUUUUCUCACCAAAAAAUACGCGGCCACUUCUCGAAGACCCGCCGCCUCGACCACACCCGCGGCUGCGGCCUAGGCGCACGCGCAUGCGAUCUAGACCCGAUGCCUCGCCGGACCUGUCUCGCCUCGCCGCUGCCUCACCUCGUCGCCUCACCGGGGGCCCUUCCUACGGACCGGCCGACGCCCGUGGGACCCACCCCGACGCGCAGAUACGCCGCUGGAGUAGCCCUGGUUCUUCGGCCGCCGCCACUACGACGACGUGUAGCUACUGGAGGAGGGAGAGUACGCACGGGCAGCAGCACGCGGCACUGUCCCUCUCCUCCUGCUGGGGUCGGUACCUCAUCGUUGUUGAGUUCAAAUUCCAGUUUCACUACCAGUACCCACUUUAAUCCCUGCUACGGGUCGUCGUUGUUGAGUGGUUGUGGACGAGGCUGCGGUACCUGGUUGUCGUCGUUGACUUCCUACACCCACUCCUUUCGCCUGUACGAGCUACCUGGCUGUUCCACCACUUCCUACUCGAACAAGUGACACAUACUAGGUAGGUACGGGGAAGACAAAACGACAAACAGUUGUGUGUAACAUGACAUACAAAUGUACGACAGUUACGAGUCACUCCGAGUACAAUGGUUUUACCUCAUGCCCUUCUACUCCUUCGAGUGGCUGACGUAGAAGCAGCCGUAGUUACGGUAGCACGUACAGCUACAGUAGAAGUGGUCCUAGUUACGAGAGCACGUACAGCUAUAGUAGCUAUAGUAGAAGUAGCCCUGGCUGAGGAGAUCCAACAACACAGCACGACCUCUACGACGGACGAAGCUCGACAACGACAACGACGGAUGAAGUUCGGGAGGUCCAUGAGACAUGACGGUUAAGGUAUAAGUAGACUCGUGCUAAAGUCAGAACAUACGGACGAUCUCAAGAACAUGAGUCUUUGAAACAGAACUAACUAUGAAACGGUAGUUAAAAAAUGACAUAUGUCAUGGACAUGUAACUUUGACAGAACUAACUAUGUCAUGAGAUGGUUGUUUGAAACAGACCUCAUAAAACUCGAAAAGGAAAAGUUUGAAAAUGAAGUCCUCCGCUAGACCUGGUUCACCCCUCCGAUAGACAUCGUCAUGGACCUCGACGUACCCUCCCGCGCCGCUAGACCUGGACCCCGACGGCUAGACUUCGUCAUGGGGGAGGCCGCUCGUCAUGGAGCUAGACUUCGUCAUGAGAGACCUCGACCGCUCCGGAACCCUCCCCCUGUUGCCAGACGUCGUCGUGGGGGAGGCUGCUCCGCUCAACCACUCCGGGGGAGGUCGCUGUCCCCCGACCUAACCGCGUCCGCUGUCCCCCCACCGGGACCCUCUCCCCGCCGGGACCCUACCCCCCGCUGGGACCGCCGUCCUUCGUUCGUCGUCGCCGCUGACCCUACCUCUCCUAGACGAGCCGCUCCUUCUGCUGCCGUUAUCGCUAAAUUUAAUCCCCGUGAAGACAUGAAAGGAGGGAAAAGUGGACCAGCCCUGCAAAAGAUUUUGCAGUAUAUAAAGCCUUGCCUCCCUCAUGCAUAUAUUUCUCACAAAAAUAAACGAGUGUACCUAACCCAGCAACCACGUAUACAAGUGCCCUACUUAGUUACACCGACCUAGUCACCUAGCCAACUUAAUAC
rnacentral:rRNA from 1 species